rnacentral:rRNA from 1 species
CACGUAGGGGGCGAGCGUUGUCCGGAUUCAUUGGGCGUAAAGAGCUCGUAGGCGGCUCAGUAAGUCGGGUGUGAAACCCUCAGGCUCAACCUGGGGACGCCACUCGAUACUGCUGUGGCUAGAGUCCGGUAGGGGAGCGUGGAAUUCCUGGUGUAGCGGUGAAAUGCGCAGAUAUCAGGAGGAACACCAGCGGCGAAGGCGGCGCUCUGGGCCGGUACUGACACUGAGGAGCGAAAGCAUGGGGAUCAAACAGG